UUAAAUGUGAUGAUGAAGAGAGCCAGGGUGUAGAUUCCACAGAGAUCCGGUGUACGCUGAGAGCCGGAGAAUUGAACCCGUACGGCGAGUCGCUUCUGAACAGGCAUUCUGAAAUGCAAAGAGUAGGAGUGCACGUGUAGCCGCGUUAAGGUGAUGGGUUUGUAUGAACCCUUAGAGUGCGUAUUUUAUAUACGAAUUUGGGUGGUACCGCGGGAAUUAACGCCCGUCCCUUAA
rnacentral:ncRNA from 1 species